rnacentral:tRNA from 1 species
GAGGAUAUAGCUCAAUGGUAGCUAGCGUGCUUAGCAUGCAUGAGGUCCUGGGUUCAAUCCCCAGUACCUCCA